UACAGAGGGUGCAAGCGUUAAUCGGAAUUACUGGGCGUAAAGCGCGCGUAGGUGGUUUGUUAAGUUGGAUGUGAAAGCCCCGGGCUCAACCUGGGAACUGCAUUUGUGACUGCACGGCUAGAGUGUGUCAGAGGGGGGUAGAAUUCCACGUGUAGCAGUGAAAUGCGUAGAUAUGUGGAGGAAUACCGAUGGCGAAGGCAGCCCCCUGGGAUAACACUGACGCUCAUGCACGAAAGCGUGGGGAGCAAACAGG
rnacentral:rRNA from 1 species